CUCUGGCCUUAAACACGAAUGGAAUUCCUCGUGGCUGCCCUAUAACAUCCAAAUACAUUUCAUUGUUAUCUACAAACCUUUUCUCCUUUCGAUCACUGUGCUCAAUUAACUUUUCCAUGCCUGUAUAUAUUACCGUUAUGGGUGUUUUUUAACCUUACCGACGUACACAGCCCAACCCACCUUAAUGGUAAUGUAUUCAUUAAUUUAUCUCCCCCACACAUCCACUAACUAUCUGUAAUAGAAAAUGUCUGGUUUACAAAGAAAAAUAAUGUGGGUAUAGUUAUAUUUAUGUUAGUACAAUCUUUUAUACAAAAUGCCUCGUAGAAAGGUUGAACUGAUUAAUGAUUGGCUUUUCUUUAAACAGGUGCAUGAUGCUGCUUCGUGUGCAGUUUGGUAGAGAACAAACGUAUGUGAAGCUGUCUGAGCUUACAUUCAAAGCUUUCUUGAAAGAAGGUGAGAACAUAGACAGGUUUCUUAAUAGACAGAAAUGCAUGACCUCACAUUUUAGAAUACUUCUUGCCUAAUUUACUAUUUGCUUUUAUUACAAACUAGUGUGCCUAAAAUUUAACACACCAGAAGACAGACAGCCAGACAUGAAGGUGUGUGACCAGUCUGACACAGAGAUUGACUCAGAGGUUUUUGAAGAAUUAGUGCAGGAGUCUGGUGGGCCCUUCCGCAUCAUCUUGAACAAUGACGGAUAUGGUAAUCAUUCAAACAACUCACUUUUGUGUUUAUUCAUAUAGGCUCUGAUGUGACUAUUUAUCAUCAUAUUCAAAUACAAUAGCUGUAUAUAACCUAAUAUGGUUCUAUUUUGUACACAUUUCUUGCACAGGUGCCUCUCAGUCGUCAUCAUGCUCAGUAGCCUCUGAUGACACAGUCAUCCUGAAUUUUUGUGUGUAAAGAAGCAGCUGUUGAAGAAGGAAGCCAGCCUUAAAGGCCAUGCCAUACAAACUAUGAGGCAAAAGCGGUAGCAAUGGAUAUCACUAUUGAAUCUAAGCUUUGAUUGAAAACAUCCUAAAAACAAAGCCAUGGAGUUGAGUACAUUAUGUAAGAAUAUGGGAAAACCAAGUCUCUCACAGAAUCCACCAGACGACAGAUGAUUAACAUUCUCACUGCUGAGAUGACAGAAACCCAUGGGUAAGCAUUGAUAUUGAUAUACAUAUAGCCUGUGAUGAGAUUGUCAGUAUUACAAUUUUAAUUACUUAAAUUGUGUCCUCUAAUGUCAUUUGUGUGUGAUGUCUUCAUUGCAUUCACACAGGACAUCGCCCGCCAAAAGUGUCAGAGUGAUGUAUGCACAGGGCAUUGUGGCUUUGUUUCCCUAUUUGGAAGACCGUUUUUCACAACAUGGAUAUGUAAGUAAAAGUGUCAUUACAACCAGCAUAAUGUACAUCACUCAGUGGUAAGUUCAUAGUAUUGUUAUUAAUGAAUUUGUAAUUACUUAGGAACACUACUACGACCCUGAGAGUGGCUCUGGAUACCUUGCAUGGCGAUUGAAAACCAUACAAUGAAAAACUGCAGAAGAUAGAGGUGCCUCUGUCAGCAGAUCUUGCAAAGGUAUAGCGUCUUAGUGUAGAUCAUAACAAUAGUGAUUUGUUGUUACACUUGUGAGUUGUUACUUGUCCUGGCAAGAGUCACAUUGUGUUUUGUCUUAAGUUGGGGGACCAGGACAAACACUCUGCUGAUGAAGACACUGUCCGUGAGAAGAUGAAAGCUACCUUUACUUAUCGCCAAGCAAUAGUCAAUGAUGAAAGCAAAUCAGCAGAUGUCUUCUUGGUUUUCCCACAUUUUCUGGACACACCAGGACUUGUACAACAUCUUAAUUCAAUUAUUUCAUGGCAAUUCCCAGUAUAGCCACAGUGCAGUAACUCUCAUUGUUACUCUUUGUUUGUAUGUGUCUGUGUUAUGGAUUGAGCAAGAUUUCAGACUUCUGUUUGGAGAGACCACUGCCAACAAAUUCUUGGAGAAGUGGCCAACUUCUUUCAAAGCUAAAGUAAUAAUGGAGAGUCAUCGACUUGUACCCACUACAGAACUCUUGGAUUUGAUGCACAGUGCAGAGUCAGCGGCUGAAGUUGAGAAUGGUACGACAUUGUUUACUUGAUAUUUCUGAUUGCACAUGUGUGCAGUGCCCUUUUUGGUAAUGGUGCAACCUCUCAAAUGAAUAUGCUAUGAUGUUAACACAUUUUUGGUUUACAUAACUCUGUUAUGUAAAUAUGUAAGCUGGGACAGUGACAUGUCUACUAUUUUGCUGCUGCUACAUCUACUGCCACCAUCUGCGCAAGGUCGAAAAAGGCCAGGAAAGAUGUUUACAUCUCAAGCUGUCCAUCAGCUCAUUAAAUUAAAAAAGGUUUGUUAAAAAGUUGAAUGAAUGAAUUUUUCUUUACUUCAAUCUCACACACAGUUUGAGGUGUGAUCAAAUGUAGUCUAAUCAGAUUUUACUCACCACAACUUAUGUUGAAUGUCUUCUGUCACAGACUGGAAUCAGUGUGCAGCAGCAUUUAGACAACAUCACCCUUAGCAGCCAGUCCUACCUUCUUGCUGUAGGAACCACACCAAGCAGCAUUCACCACUACUUCAUUGUGAUCGACAAGCAUGCACUUCCUUGCAAGGCAACUGGUUCUGUGGGAGUCUUUGACAAACUCUUGAAGGCCCAUUAUGUCUUUGAGUUGAAUCUAAAAUGCCCCUGUUUUUUUUGUUUGAUUAUUGUAUUGUUUUGAUUAUUGUUCUGAUUAUAGAUGGAACACUGUAAUUGCUUACUGUGCCUUUAAUUACAGUUGCUUGUCAAGAACAUCUCCAUGCACAUGAAGUGAGAAAGCAAGACAAUGCAAAUAUGGAGACCACUAGCACUUUAAUGAUUUCUAAAAUAAAUACUAGCACUGGCAAUACUA